UACAGAGGUCUCAAGCGUUGUUCGGAUUCAUUGGGCGUAAAGGGUGCGUAGGCGGCGCGGUAAGUCGGGUGUGAAAUCCCGGAGCUUAACUCCGAAACUGCAUUCGAUACUGCCGUGCUUGAGGACUGGAGAGGAGACUGGAAUUUACGGUGUAGCGGUGAAAUGCGUAGAUAUCGUAAGGAAGACCAGUGGCGAAGGCGGGUCUCUGGACAGUUCCUGACGCUGAGGCACGAAGGUCAGGGGAGCAAACGGG
rnacentral:rRNA from 1 species